GACGAACGCUGGCGGCGUGCUUAACACAUGCAAGUCGAACGGUAAGGCCCUUCGGGGUACACGAGUGGCGAACGGGUGAGUAACACGUGGGUGACCUGCCCUGCACUUCGGGAUAAGCCUGGGAAACUGGGUCUAAUACCGGAUAGGACCACUGCCUGCAUGGGUGGUGGUGGAAAGCUUUUGCGGUGUGGGAUGGGCCCGCGGCCUAUCAGCUUGUUGGUGGGGUGAUGGCCUACCAAGGCGACGACGGGUAGCCGGCCUGCGAGGGUGACCGGCCACACUGGGACUGAGAUUCGGCCGAGACUCCUACGGGGGGCAGCAGUGGGGAAUAUUGCACAAUGGGCGCAAGCCUGAUGCAGCGACGCCGCGUGAGGGGUGACGGCCUUCGGGUUGUAAACCUCUUUCAGCACCGACGAAGCGCAAGUGACGGUAGGUGCAGAAGAAGGACCGGCCAACUACGUGCCAGCCGCCGCCGUAA
rnacentral:rRNA from 1 species